AUACGGAGGGUGCAAGCGUUAAUCGGAAUUACUGGGCGUAAAGAGUACGUAGGUGGUUUAUUAAGUCAGAUGUGAAAGCCCCGGGCUUAACCUGGGAACUGCAUUUGAUACUGGCAAACUAGAGUAUGGUAGAGGCGGGUAGAAUUCCUAGUGUAGCGGUGAAAUGCGUAGAUAUUAGGAGGAAUACCAGUGGCGAAGGCGGCCCGCUGGACCAAUACUGACACUGAGGUACGAAAGCGUGGGUAGCGAACAGGAUUAGAAACCCUAGUAGUCC
rnacentral:rRNA from 1 species